ACAGACAGGACCUUUGUGCUCCUUAAGAACGAAGUCCUCCAGGCUCAAGCAGCUCUGAACAAGCAGAGCAGAGGCAGGAAUCCAGCGCCGACCCAUUCAGCAGGGUGGCCUUGGUUGGGCCUGAGAGGUGCUGACCAGGAGAGCCCUGCGGACACAUGGAUGAAGAAGAUACAUUUCCUCCCAAGGAGCCGACAGUCUGUGCAAUUCAACAAUCAAGUAAACCUGCAUAAUGGUAAGGAUAGCUGCUCUCAGCUCUACAAAGAUCCAGCUGGACAACCCCACCAUGUCAUGUUACAUAAGCACCUGAACAGACCAUUAGAGUCAAGAUUCUGCUGAAAACCUGCUGGCCACAGCCAUGAUGCUCUUCUACCUCUGGACACAGACCUGGCAUCCACCUGGUAGCCUCCUUGUCUCAAGAUGGCAUACUGGUAGCCAUAGCCCUCUCCUCUGUGAUUGGUCUUGGCUGACCUUCACUGGUUUGGUGACUCCCAGGACAAUGGACAGAGGACCACAGGAAGCAGAGUAAGAAGGAAUUGAACUCGUGAGACCAGCAAACUUCAUCAUCUGAGGAACCUGUUAAUAAUGCUGAGAUGAUGAUUCAGUAAGUCUGCAAGAGGCCCAAUUAUCCACAUUCUCACAGUCACACCAAAGGAUUCUGGUUCAAGCAAACUUCAGAGCACACUUUGAGGACAAUAACUUCAUACUGACUGUGGAAGUCAGACAGGGGCACUACCUGUCUAAAGGUCUCUCUGGGAAUCUGCUUCAUGCAGAGACAACACAUCCCCUUACCUUGGAAAGACUGAGUUGGUUGGAAAGAGGAGCUCAGUUGUGGCAUCCAACCAAAUUUGGAAGCAAUGUAAUGAGUGUUACAUCCAAGGCCAGGAAUGCAGCCCUGCUAGGAGGCUGCACGGCUAGCAGGGUGUGUGUGGGUGGGGCAGCUUGUAAGUACCACCUCCACACUGCUCACAUCACAUCAUGUUAUUAUGAUUGAUGUUUCUCCAUGCCAGUGCCCUGCCAUGUGAUUAUCGCUUUAUAGUUCACAGCCCCACAAUCUUAAGCAAUGGUCACUUGGGGCCUUAGUUUGGCAGAUGCCCUAGAUAACCACUGAGCAGUGGGGGGAGGGGGGGUGUUAACCCUGGGCUCCUGGACUCUAGGGGUAAUCAGCUGUAGCCACCAAGUUGGACACUUCAGAUGAGCACAAUGAGUCCCUGUUGACAGAUGAGCUGAGCCCAGCUCAACAGACUGAAGACAACUGAGAUGGUGAGAAGAACACUGGGCUAAGAGCUGACCUAACCAUUAACUGAUUGCAGGAGACUCAGCAAAUCAGAACCCCGUUCUGGGUCACAAUGUCCUUGUGAGUAAAAUACUUUCAGCUCUGGUUUCCUGGAAGCCUUGAUUUUGCUAUAGGGAAAAGACACUUGCUCAUCUCAACAUGACCCAGCCUUGGAAUCUUUGUGCUCUAGGCAUACCCUGUCAAGACAUUGGAACUGUCAGGCAACUUGAAGCCUCUGUGCCCUUCCUGGCAUUAACUGAAAAGUCAGGGCAGGACUUGCUUAUUCAACAAGGGAGGAACCAGGGACUAUCUGCAAAGGGCACUGCAGAGGGAAUUCCUGCGUAUACAAGGAAGAGCCAGGUGAUCCCUAAGACCCUUUGAAGCAUCCAUGGUUCAGGUGACGGUUCUCCCUGCUCCAAGCAUUCAGCCACCCAAGACAUAAAGAGAAAAAUCCAGCCCAGCCUGGGUUAAUAUGUGUGAACUAAACCUUUCUUAAAACUUCUCCUAUGCAUUUCUUUUCCCCUUAUCUUUAUUGGCCUCCUGAAAUGCCUUAUCUACAAAGGCAUGAUUCUGUUCUAAAUCUCUGUCUAUGAACACAAUUACCAUUUCUGCUUCUUCCACAAGGUAAAAAUGAAUCACGAGAUGCAAGACAUGAACUUAACUUAUCCACCCAGCCAUAGGCAGACUGGCUUCAUCUCCAAAUGAUGCACUCCCCCACAUAAAAUAAAAGCAGACGGUUUUAUUCUUCAGUCCAAAGCACUUAGCAUUUCAGAGAGACAUCUGCUGCAGACAAAUCUUGGGUCUUUGGAGCUUUAAUACUUUAAAAUUUAUUCCUCUUCACCACCUGGAGGCUCAUGAGUCCAUUUGUGGACUUUUCCACCUAAUGCUGCCUUGCAAGCUAAUGAGCAGUUGGUUCAUAGACAUGCAAGUUGCAAUUCUUCUAUUAAAACCCCUACAUCCAUAUUGCAGCAGGAAGGGAUGAGAAUUAACCAUCAGGAGCCUCUCAGCAACCCUCUGCCUUGUCUUACCUUUAUGAAUUGCUUCAACAAACAAGUACUAAGUGCCAGAUCCUAUGCUGUUUUCUAGAGUAAGAUCUAGAGGCAUAGUAAGGAAUAAGAAAUAGUUUCUCUUCCCAUCUGGGGCCUGUGAAUGGGCUUAAGAAGUUCUAUGUAUCUCUCUGAAGUGAUCGGCAAA